rnacentral:rRNA from 1 species
UACGGAGGGUGCAAGCGUUGUCCGGAUUUAUUGGGUUUAAAGGGUGCGUAGGCGGGCUAUUAAGUCAGUGGUGAAAGCCCCAAGCUCAACUUGGGAACUGCCAUUGAUACUGAUGGUCUUGAGUACAUUUGAGGUGGGCGGAAUGUGUCAUGUAGCGGUGAAAUGCUUAGAUAUGACACAGAACACCGAUUGCGAAGGCAGCUCACUAAACUGUAACUGACGCUGAGGCACGAAAGCGUGGGGAGCAAACAGG